rfam:Brassica napus, WGS project CCCW01000000 data, contig: 30754
GGAAUAUAAGAACGCGUCUCUUAACUUUUAACUAAAAAAGUUAAGAUUCGAUUCUUAAAUAAGAGUUUUAAGAGCCGGUUCUUAACUUUUUUAGUUAAAAAUUAAGAGAUGAGUUCUUAUAUUCC